ACAGUGGUAUCUGCACUCGUUGUAAGUCUUUACUAACAGCUGUUGCCUCUGUUCUCUGGAACCUCCUUAAGCCAAGGAUCAGACACAAGCCUGAGCUCUGAGCCCGUGGUCCUAGCUUGUCCCUGAGGUAUGAGGCUGGUGACUGGAGUAACUGUGUUUCUGACCUUGGGGACCAUUAUUGAUGCUAAGACCUCCCAGCCCAGCUCCAUGGAUUGUGCUUAAGGAGGAGAUGUAAACCUGCCUUGUAAUAACUAUACCUUUGAUGGAAAUGACUAUAUAUAUAUACAUUGGUAUCAGCAAAAUCCCAAUCAGUGUCCACAGUAUGUCAUUCAUGGCUUAUGAAACACCGUGAACAGCAGCAUGGCCUCUCUGAACACAGCUUCCGACAGAAAGUGCAGCACCUUGGUCCUGCCCCAGGUCACCCUGAGAGACACCGCUGUGUACUACUGCAUCCUGAGAGAGGCACACUGGGACAGACGGGGCUGCACCUGUGCAGUGUUUCUCUGGUGAGAAGAAGGGGGGACACAGCGG